rnacentral:rRNA from 1 species
GGAGGGGACGAGCGUUGUUCGGAAUUACUGGGCGUAAAGCGCGCGUAGGCGGUCAUGCAAGUCGGAUGUGAAAGCCCUCGGCUCAACCGAGGAAUUGCGUCCGGUACUGCUUGGCUUGAGUCCAGUAGGGGAUGGCAGAAUUCCAGAUGUAGCGGUGGAAUGCGUAGAUAUCGGGAGGAAUACCGAUGGCGAAGGCGGCCAUCUGGACCGGAACUGACGCUGAGACGCGAAAGCUAGGAAAGCAAACAGG